rnacentral:pre_miRNA from 1 species
GAUUCCGAGGCGGAUGUGCAUGAGAUCAUGUAUCUAUAAAAUUUCAUGAGAUCAUGUUACAUCCGACUUGGCGUCUC